CGGGAACUUCCUCCCCUGCAGAGACCACCUCGCUCCCGGGACUCGCCAGCGAGGGAUGCCGCCGGCCGCCGGGGGCCUUCUCCAGGACCAGGAGAGAAAUCCUCUCUCCGCUUCACGACGCGGCCACUCCCACCCCUGAGACGCCCACCUGGCGGACUCUGAGGGAGGAUUCGGCUGCGUCUAAUACCACCUCCACCCCUCAUCCCUCACAAUGCGCGGAAAACCACAGGCGGCUGUGCGCGCAGCGUCGGCUCAGCCACCGCAGCUCCUCCCCUGGGAUGAAAAAGCACUCUGACGUCUUGAAAGCUGGCAGCUCUCUGUUUGGAAAAUCUCUGCCCAGUGAAAAAAUGUACCGACAAGAUUACUAAGUAACACAGUCUUCUGGGAAUGCCUUAUCAAUGCCAGCUAUUUGAAGAGCACCCAAAGUCAAACUAGUGCUCCGCGCUGGCAGUCUGGAAAAGGCAGAUGUAUAGUGAAUUAAGAAGUUUAAGAGAAGCAAGUAUG
rnacentral:lncRNA from 1 species